CGCGUAGGCGGCCAAUUAAGUCAAAUGUGAAAUCCCCGAGCUUAACUUGGGAAUUGCAUUCGAUACUGGUUGGCUAGAGUGUGGGAGAGGAUGGUAGAAUUCCAGGUGUAGCGGUGAAAUGCGUAGAGAUCUGGAGGAAUACCGAUUGCGAAGGCAGCCCCCUGGACGGUAACUGACGUUGAGGCUCGAAAGCGUGGGGAGCAAACAGGAUUAGAUACCCCCGU
rnacentral:rRNA from 1 species